rnacentral:rRNA from 1 species
CCUACGGGUGACAGCAGUGAGGAAUAUUGGUCAAUGGACGAGAGUCUGAACCAGCCAAGUAGCGUGAAGGAUGACUGCCCUAUGGGUUGUAAACUUCUUUUAUAUGGGAAUAAAACAGGGUAUGCAUACCCUCUUUUAUGUAUCAUAUGAAUAAGGAUCGGCUAACUCCGUGCCAGCAGCCGCGGUAAUACGGAGGAUCCGAGCGUUAUCCGGAUUUAUUGGGGUUAAAGGGAGCGUAGGUGGAUUGUUAAGUCAGUUGUGAAAGUUUGCGGCUCAACCGUAAAAUUGCAGUUGAAACUGGCAGUCUUGAGUACAGAAGAGGUGGGCGGAAUUCGUGGUGUAGCGGUGAAAUGCUUAGAUAUCACGAAGAACUCCGAUUGCGAAGGCAGCUCACUGGACUGCAACUGACACUGAUGCUCGAAAGUGUGGGUAUCAAACAGGAUUAGAUACCCUGGUAGUC